rnacentral:rRNA from 1 species
UACGAAGGGGGCUAGCGUUGUUCGGAAUUACUGGGCGUAAAGCGCAUGUAGGCGGACAUUUAAGUCAGGGGUGAAAUCCCAGAGCUCAACUCUGGAACUGCCUUUGAUACUGGGUGUCUUGAGUAUGGAAGAGGUGAGUGGAAUUCCGAGUGUAGAGGUGAAAUUCGUAGAUAUUCGGAGGAACACCAGUGGCGAAGGCGGCUCACUGGUCCAUUACUGACGCUGAGGUGCGAAAGCGUGGGGAGCAAACAGG